AACAUUCUCAGCUGGGUUGGAUGUAAAACUCAUAAAAAAGCCAUUUAAACACUUAUAAUUUUACAGGUUUCGAGUGAUAAGGCAAGAUGCUUUGAUGGCCAAGGAAACUACAUAUAGCCUUCCUCAGAGACAAAAGGUUAAAACAAAUUCAUCACGUGUGUGCAGUGAGCAUUUUCCUUAAGGCAGCUAUACAGUACAAGAUAUGGUCAUCAUCUUCACAAUGCUACUGCAACAACAGAUUUUCAGAUGGUUUAUUUUCUAAAUAUGAUCCAUGAGAUGCUGUCCACUCAGAAAAUAACCCUGUUGAGAAUGCAAUUGAUUAGAUGGACUUGGAUCAAGUUAUUGAACAAGGAUGGUGGAUAAAGGGCUGCAGAUAGGCACAUAAAAGGUACAGU